GACGUAGGUGGCGAACGUUAUCCGGAAUUAUUGGGCGUAAAGCGUCCGCAGGUGGCUAUUCAAGUCUGCGGUCAAAGACUGGGGCUUAACCCUGGAAAGGCCGUGGAAACUGAAGAGCUAGAGUGCAGUAGGGGUAGAGGGAAUUCCCGGUGUAGCGGUGAAAUGCGUAGAGCUCGGGAAGAACAUCGGUGGCGAAAGCGCUCUGCUGGACUGCAACUGACACUCAGGGACGAAAGCUAGGGGAGCGAAUGGG
rnacentral:rRNA from 1 species